rnacentral:tRNA from 1 species
CCCUACGUCUCGUAAGUAAUCGUCUAUUACUUCAUAUAUUUUCAUUUUUUUUUUGAAAACUCUUUCUAUCUAUAUUCAAAAAU